ACACUCCUGCGGGAGGCAGCAGUGGGGAAUAUUGCACAAUGGGCGCAAGCCUGAUGCAGCCAUGCCGCGUGUAUGAAGAAGGCCUUCGGGUUGUAAAGUACUUUCAGCGGGGAGGAAGGCGAUAAGGUUAAUAACCUUGUCGAUUGACGUUACCCGCAGAAGAAGCACCGGCUAACUCCGUGCCAGCAGCCGCGGUAAUACGGAGGGUGCAAGCGUUAAUCGGAAUUACUGGGCGUAAAGCGCACGCAGGCGGUCUGUCAAGUCGGAUGUGAAAUCCCCGGGCUCAACCUGGGAACUGCAUUCGAAACUGGCAGGCUAGAGUCUUGUAGAGGGGGGUAGAAUUCCAGGUGGAGCGGUGAAAUGCGUAGAGAUCUGGAGGAAUACCGGUGGCGAAGGCGGCCCCCUGGACAAAGACUGACGCUCAGGUGCGAAAGCGUGGGGAGCAAACAGGAUUAGAAACCCGUGUAGUCCC
rnacentral:rRNA from 1 species